CCAUACUCCUACGGGAGUCAGCAGUGGGGAAUAUUGCACAAUGGGCGCAAGCCUGAUGCAGCCAUGCCGCGUGUGUGAAGAAGGCCUUCGGGUUGUAAAGCACUCUCACUCAGGAGGAAAGGUUAGUAGUUAAUACCUGCUAGCUGUGACGUUACUGACAGAAGAAGCACCGGCUAACUCCGUGCCAGCAGCCGCGGUAAUACGGAGGGUGCGAGCGUUAAUCGGAAUUACUGGGCGUAAAGCGUACGCAGGCGGUUUGUUAAGCGAGAUGUGAAAGCCCCGGGCUUAACCUGGGAACUGCAUUUCGAACUGGCAAACUAGAGUGUGAUAGAGGGUGGUAGAAUUUCAGGUGUACGGUGAAAGAUCUGAAGGAAUACCGAUCGCAGCCAACACUGACGCUC
rnacentral:rRNA from 1 species